UGCCCUAUGGUGUAACGGCAGCACAGGAGUCUCUAAAACUCUUAGUCUGGGUUCGAAUCCUAGUGGGGUAAC
rnacentral:tRNA from 3 species